GUGAAGAAGGGUUUCGGCUCGUAAAGCUCUGUUGUUGGUGAAGAAGGACAGGGGUAGUAACUGACCUUUGUUUGACGGUAAUCAAUUAGAAAGUCACGGCUAACUACGUGCCAGCAGCCGCGGUAAUACGUAGGUGGCAAGCGUUGUCCGGAUUUAUUGGGCGUAAAGCGAGUGCAGGCGGCUCGAUAAGUCUGAUGUGAAAGCCUUCGGCUCAACCGGAGAAUUGCAUCAGAAACUGUCGAGCUUGAGUACAGAAGAGGAGAGUGGAACUCCAUGUGUAGCGGUGAAAUGCGUAGAUAUAUGGAAGAACACCGGUGGCGAAGGCGGCUCUCUGGUCUGUUACUGACGCUGAGGCUCGAAAGCAUGGGUAGCGAACAGGAUUAGAUACCCUGGUAGUCCAUGCCGUAAACGAUGAGUGCUAAGUGUUGGGAGGUUUCCGCCUCUCAGUGCUGCAGCUAACGCAUUAAGCACUCCGCCUGGGGAGUACGAGCGCAAGCUUG
rnacentral:rRNA from 1 species